AUACAUGCUAGAAUGACCAUUUUCA
rnacentral:sRNA from 1 species